rnacentral:rRNA from 1 species
GAUGAACGCUGGCGGCGUGCCUAAUACACGCAAGUCGAGCGAACAGACGAGGAGCUUGCUCCUCUGACGUUAGCGGCGGACGGGUGAGUAACACGUGGAUAACCUACCUAUAAGACUGGGAUAACUUCGGGAAACCGGAGCUAAUACCGGAUAAUAUAUUGAACCGCAUGGUUCAAUAGUGAAAGACGGUUUUGCUGUCACUUAUAGAUGGAUCCGCGCCGCAUUAGCUAGUUGGUAAGGUAACGGCUUACCAAGGCAACGAUGCGUAGCCGACCUGAGAGGGUGAUCGGCCACACUGGAACUGAGACACGGUCCAGACUCCUACGGGAGGCAGCAGUAGGGAAUCUUCCGCAAAGGGCGAAAGCCUGACGGAGCAACGCCGCGUGAGUGAUGAAGGUCUUCGGAUCGUAAAACUCUGUUAUUAGGGAAGAACAAAUGUGUAAGUAACUAUGCACGUCUUGACGGUACCUAAUCAGAAAGCCACGGCUAACUACGUG